CCUACGGGCGGCUGCAGUGGGGAAUAUUGGACAAUGGGCGAAAGCCUGAUCCAGCCAUGCCGCGUGUGUGAAGAAGGCCUUCGGGUUGUAAAGCACUUUCAGUGGGGAAGAAAGCCUUGGGGCUAAUACCCUCGAGGAAGGACAUCACCCACAGAAGAAGCACCGGCUAACUCCGUGCCAGCAGCCGCGGUAAUACGGAGGGGUGCGAGCGUUAAUCGGAAUUACUGGGCGUAAAGCGCGCGUAGGCGGUCUGAUAAGCCGGUUGUGAAAGCCCCGGGCUCAACCUGGGAACGGCAUCCGGAACUGUCAGGCUAGAGUGCAGGAGAGGAAGGUAGAAUUCCCGGUGUAGCGGUGAAAUGCGUAGAGAUCGGGAGGAAUACCAGUGGCGAAGGCGGCCUUCUGGACUGACACUGACGCUGAGGUGCGAAAGCGUGGGUAGCAAACAGGAUUAGAUACCCUAGUAGUC
rnacentral:rRNA from 1 species